AGUGAACGCUGGCGGUAGACCUAACACAUGCAAGUCGAACGGCAGCACAGUAAGAGCUUGCUCUUACGGGUGGCGAGUGGCGGACGGGUGAGGAAUACAUCGGAAUCUACUUUUUCGUGGGGGAUAACGUAGUGAAACUUACGCUAAUACCGCAUACGACCUACGGGUGAAGGCAGGGGAUCUUCGGACCUUGCGCGAUUGAAUGAGCCGAUGUCGGAUUAGCUAGUUGGCGGGGUAAAGGCCCACCAAGGCGACGAUCCGUAGCUGGUCUGAGAGGAUGAUCAGCCACACUGGAACUGAGACACGGUCCAGACUCCUACGGGAGGCAGCAGUGGGGAAUAUUGGACAAUGGGCGCAAGCCUGAUCCAGCCAUACCGCGUGGGUGAAGAAGGCCUUCGGGUUGUAAAGCCCUUUUGUUGGGAAAGAAAAGCAGCAGGUUAAUACCCCGCUGUUCUGACGGUACCCAAAGAAUAAGCACCGGCUAACUUCGUG
rnacentral:rRNA from 1 species